rnacentral:tRNA from 1 species
GGCGUGGUCGCCAAGUGGUAAGGCAGGGGUCUGCAAAACCCCUAUCGUGGGUUCGAUUCCCACUCACGCCUCCA